GUGGUCAAAUCAUGACGACGGUGAUCUUCAGGUUGGAGAUCUAGAAAGAUGCCAAGAGUUUCCGACUUGGAAUUCCGAUUGUUCCCAGUGUGGAGCUCGUUAUGUUCAAGUUCCCAUUGUUCUUGAACGGGCUGAAGUCUGAGAUUUUCGCGUUCAGAGUUGUUUUGAACGCGGCAUAUGUCCGAAGACACAAGGCAAGAUGGUAUACUAUAUAAUACGUGUAGCCUAUUGUCGGGUGUUUUGUUUUCUUCUUUCGCCUAUGACGUAAUCUGGUCUAGAAAUACGUCACUUGAAUUUGAGCGUGACAGGACUUCUUGGGUCAGUUCUUCAUCAAGGAGUCAGUCAGUUUCAGGCCUAACUACCAUCAAGCUAGGAAAGGACACCCGCUCAGACUUCGUGAGGUCAAGUCUGUCACAGAUGCUAAUGUAGACUAAUCCACGAGACAACUUCAUCCUAAAAAUGUCUGACUACAUUGUGAAGAUCGAGGGAACUGGUCCCGAGGAGUCCGAGGCAUCCCCUGAGAAGUCCAGGGACCCGUCACCUGAGCCUGCUGUUCUGCCCAUGACAGAUGUGUCCUUCCCUGGAGCAAUGGAACACAUGAAUGAGAUGCUUAGCUCCUUGGAUCAAGUGAUGGACAGUCAAACACAAGAAAAUGGUGAACAAGUGGAAGCAACUGAAAGUCAGAGAAAGAGACUAAAGGGAAACCUAGGUUCGUCCUCUGUUGGGUGUUCACUUGGAUGUAUUCCAAGCUUUGACUCAGUGUCCCUUACAUCUACAGUCAACACGGAUAACAACUCAGGGGAGAGCCUAGAGCAGCUGCAGUACCAAGGGGCCCUGAGGGUGGAUACAUGUGAUGAGGUGGAGGUCAAGGUGCUAGAUAUCGACUUAUCUUCAUUCACCCUGAACCGGAUUUCCUUCUCCAGUAUUCUUCAGGAGGAGAAUGACAGAGUGCUGGACAAGGACACUAUGGAUUGUCGCUCUCUGUCGAGAACAGUUCCCUUUGAAAGCAGCCCAAUUCCGGAGAGGAGUGGAAGCUUGAAGACGUAUUGCAGUAGUGUACCCACCCCGUACCAGUCAAGAUUAUCCCUUACCUCCACUGAGGCACAUGAUCAGGUUGCAAACAGCUCAGGCACACAAGUGAGCCUCCAAAUCCCGAUGGACCCUCUGGAGGAGCUUUUUGGUAUCACUCAGGAUAUGAUAUACACAGACGUCCAUGAAAGAGUGAUUGAAGUGUUGCAGGACAUCUACUCGGCAGCUAACCAGCUAGAGCAACAGCUAUUCCAGAGUGUCUCUGACAGGCAAGCUAGAGCCAUUGUAAAGGCGGUAGUGCAGCAGAUCAAUGCCGCCCUCUCCAGGGCUCUCCAACAAACCUGCUCGGGAUCACAAUUACUUACUAUAGUGGGAUCUGCCAAGCUCUAUAGCAAAGAUGGGUUGGCAGCGGUGGAGGGCCAAGGAGUUCCUUUGAUCACCUCGUCAGCAGAGGGAGACAGGGAUGGCAACAAGGAAGGAAGUAGACCGUUGAAACGUUGUUUUAACAGCUUUGUUCGUGUUUUGUCAGCAAAAAUGAGGAGUAUCUCCAAGGGGAUCAAACAGACCAGCGAGAGUGCACAACAAGAGCACAGGCUAGUUGUUGAGCUGCCAGCAUCAUCUGACGAGGGUACAGAGCAAGAGGCAGCAGAGAAAGCUGGAUCUAGUACAGUUUCUGAACCCGCUAGGGAGGAGAUCACAGAGGUCAGUGAAGUUCUUCAGUCGGAAUCUGAUGAUUCUCUACUUCCCUCCAUCGGGGGAAUGCUCUUCCACGUUGGAUCCAUGCCUCAUACAGAGGAUUCAGUGGAACUAUACGGCAAGGUUCCAUCAAAGUUAACACCAGAAAGUAUGGUGCAGGAAGAACGUGUUGAUGAAGGCUUGUCUAAGGUUUGUUCCAGGACAACUUCUUCAACCAGCACCACUUUCAGCAUGGACGAUGUCCAGAAGACUGUUGCUACUUUGACCACUUCUGGAAGUGACAGGGGUAGAAGCAUUAUCACUACCCCAGAAACGCCAGAGCAGAGUCUGCACCACCAGGGAGGUGGACUGGACACCCCUGUCUCCUCAGAGACAAGAGUGGCUGAAAGUGUCAGAAAGAGCCCUGCAACUUGGUCAGACGCAGAGGGAUUAAGUUAUGCAAAAAAGUCUGUGUCGGAGUUAAUGGAGAGGAUGGUUCUCAGCCGUGAGGAUGCAACGUCAGCAGAGAAGAGCCUGGACAUCCUCCUCUCCUCUGGUAUUCUUCGUCCUCACACUGACAAGUUAGUCGACCAGCUGCGAAAACUUUUGAUGGUGAACAGCACACUUACAGCACAAUCUGUGUCUGGCAGGUCAAAAUCAGAAUCUGCUCUGCCGAAGUCCAGCAUGACAGGGGAACUCCAAAGGGAGAUCUCAAGGAACGGUUUGCUGGAGAUAGCAUAUACUAUCACAGAGAGAUCUAUAAAGACCCUUUUGGAGCAGCUGCUCACUGCCCUCCUCCCUCCAUCUGUAGUGGUUGAGGUUGCCAGGUCAUGUCAGAACAUCCGACCAGUCACUCCCUCUCAGGUGAUGAGUUCUGAAGUUAGCCCAGGGUGCUGCAACCCUCUGUCAAUGAUUUGCCGUGUGAUCAUAGAUGUCUUUACGAUCACAAGACAGGUGGUUGAGACAGCCAGUGAAAUGGAUAUGUCUCCCCCCGGAGAGAACAUUGAUGGAAGUCUUUGUAGCAACACAGCACCACUGCCCACUGAUUCAACCCCAUCUGUCCACCCGAUCAACCGUGAGUGCAACAGAUCUUUGGUGACCAAACCAACAAACAAAAUCAAGAGCUUGACAUUCUCAUUUCCUAAGCUCCCAAAGAUCAGUCUCAUAAAGUGCAAGAAAGUCAACCAAGGGGAUAUCGCUCCCCUUGAGACCACCAAGGAUCCUGCUGAUGUCAACUAUAGUAUAUUCUGCACUACUCCAACACCAGAGAAUGCACAACGACAAGAGGAAGAUCUGGCCUCCUGCUCCUCACAGAGGAAGGAAAGGGCAAAGAACCCAUUCUUUUUAAUCCGGGUAUACUCUGCCAAGUCUACGCAUGAAAACAGCUAGCGUCAGUAGAAAUGUCCUUUUGGUUAUUUGGCAACACAACCAGAGGACCAUCUCGCCACCUACUCCACAACGAGGAAGGAGAGGCUCAAGAAGUGUUCAUUUUCACUGCCAUAGCCAAUCAUUUCAACUCAGUCCUACUGACAUCCCUCUGGGCAAAAAAAUUGUUUAAUCAACAUCGCUUCCACAUCAUCUCAACACCCUAAAAAAUCUACACGAUGAACUGAUAGGAUUUACAACAAGUCAUGAACCAGGACAUUUCGUCUUUUUUUCACCCAACUUUUAAUCUGAAUCCAAUGACAUGGUGAUUUUUUUUUUAACGUUGAAGUGACGUUAGUUGACAACUCAACCAAAUGUAAUUCAAAACUAGAUGUUGAACUGACAUCUGUGCCCAGUGGGAUUUGCUGUUGUCAGUCUUCUACACGGGUUUUGCAACUACAUCAGAGGACCAUCUUGCCUCCUUACUCCCCAACAAGGAAGAAGAGGCCCAAUAAUUGUUACUUUUUUGUCAACCAGUCCUUUCAACUCUUUCAAAACUCAUUUCAAAACUCUCCUUUCACCUAUUAAUCUCAUUCACGAAGCUUCCAAAGAAAUAUCUCAACAAAAAUUGUCUACACCACCACCAGAGGAGGAACUUGCCUCCUGCUCGCCAAUGAGGAAGGAGAUGCCCAUGAAGCGUAUAUUCACUUCCUUCAAUAAUAAACUGCCACUUCAUGCAUUCACGAGUCCUUUAGUGAAAUGUAUAUAUUUUUAAAGUAAAGUAGAGUGGAGAGAUCGACAAAGAAGAGAAUUCAUGGGCAUUCAAAGCUCAAAGAAAUCCCUCAUGACAUUCUUUGAGUCUUAAUCCAGCGGUCGAGUUCAAAACGGACUGUAUAUAGGUCUGGCUGCCAAGUCUGUAAAUCCUGUUCUAAUCUAUUCUCCCCUUUGGACUCAAAUAUUGAUAAAGUCCCUGGCAGUCAGGUUCAUGUUUGACACGAAUGGUCUGACAAUAAUUUUUGCUAUGAGUAAUACACCAUUGCAAACCAUGAGGCAAUCUGACCAUAAAUAAAUAGGCUUUCCAUUAUAUACUGUGAUCCUGGCUUUAAUCACACAUUCAUUAAGUUGGUUGUAACAGAUGAUAAAACAGUAUUGAUUAUUCAAAUGUUACACAGACGCCCAAAGGUCACUAUUACUGAUGGUGCAGUCUUCUAUCCACCCAUUGGCUAAUGUACAGUAGCUACAUCUAUCAUAUAAACACACUCUAAAGCCUGCUUCCCAUCAGAAUGUGCCUUGUUGAUCAGAGUCCAGUGGGAGUCAUGGAAGUCUCAAUGGGUGUUAAGGUAAAUCAGGAGAUGUGUGUUAGCUCUUUGCAGAGUGUAACACGCCUAUCUAUCAUGUUUAAUGCACUUGAUCCAUAUUCAAGAGUUGAUCGAAUAGUCCAAGUAGUCGGUUCCACGGAAUCUGUAUAUUAAAUGUCUAACAGAUGAAGCCACUUGUGAUAUAAAUAUAGGUAUGUCGAAUCUGGCACUCAAAUGGUGGCAUAUUGGGACACAAUUUAAUGUCUCACUUGUAGAUACUAUCCCCUUAUGGCGUUUCUUCUCUCUUAAAUUACCUUCAAAGUAAUUGUAUUUCUUUAUGAAAAUGCUGCUGUAAAAGUUGGUUCUCUCAUGAAAUGUCUGAGAUCAAUCUCAUUUUGAAGGGAAUUUAAAAUUAUUUGUUGUCAACUACAUGAAUCAAAAGGUAUGACCCAGUGACUUCAUCUCCAUGCAUUAUAUUAUUUGGUCAUUCUGCAUAUUUAAGAACAAGUGAUACAUUAGAAAUCUCUGGCAAUGUUUUCAAUUGGGAGGUCUAAUCGUGACACCAUUCGUGGCAUUUGCAGUUCACGACCUCUUUGUACAACCAAUCACUUUUUAGACAGUUCCCUCUCGUCCAAUCGGAUGAGGUGAUGUUGGAGCGUGUAGUUGUGUUGUUUUUAAUUUGGAAGUGAGCGAAUCAGGGAACUGUCAAGCGGUAAAAAAAGAGCACCACAUGUUUUCCAGAGUAUCACAGUUUCUAUAGCUUCAGUUAGCUAACUAACAUAAACCCUAGCAACCUGUUGAUUGAUGUAAGCAGGGUAACGUUUGCUCGCUAGCUAGCGUGUGUAAAAUAACAGCCAUCAAUGUUUAACAACGAUGAGGAUCUUGUAGAUGUGGCCACUUUAAGGAAUCAAUUGUGAUUGACGGAGAUAAGUUUGAAAAGUUUGGGAGAACAAUUAUGGGCUGUGGAGAUGGAGGUUGCCCCCUCCUCAGGGAGAAGCUGUGUUGCCUGUGUCAAGAGAACGACUCCCUGGAGAACAGACAGCUCAUUAGGGACCUGGAGGUGGCCCAGAUUGAACUGGGCAGCUCCAAGACCAAGUGUUUGGCAGAAGAGGAUGUCUUCCUUAAUUGACCCCCCAUAAACGUAACGGUCAUAUACCAGGAGCUGUGCAAGGCCCGCCACGUCUGUUGACUCAUCCAGCUGUAACAGACAUAUACCAGGAGCUGUGCCAGGCCCGCCACGUCUGUUGACUCAUCCAGCUGUAACAGACAUAUACCAGGAGCUGUGCCAGGCCCUCCACGUCUGUUGACUCAUCCAGCUGUAACAGACAUAUACCAGGAGCUAUGCAAGGCCCGCCACGUCUGUUGACUCAUCCAGCUGUAACAGACAUAUACCAGGAGCUGUGCAAGGCCCGCCACGUCUGUUGACUCAUCCAGCUGUAACAGACAUAUACCAGGAGCUGUGCAAGGCCCGCCACGUCUGUUGACUCAUCCAGCUGUAACAGACAUAUACCAGGAGCUGUGCAAGGCCCGCCACGUCUGUUGACUCAUCCAGCUGUAACAGACUUAUACCAGGAGCUGUGCAAGGCCCGCCACGUCUGUUGACUCAUCCAGCUGUAACAGACAUACCAGGAGCUGUCCCAGGCCCUCCACGUCUGUUGACUCAUCCAGCUGUAACAGACAUAUACCAGGAGCUGUGCAAGGCCUGCCACGUCUGUUGACUCAUCCAGCUGUAACAGACAUAUACCAGGAGCUGUGCAAGGCCCGCCACGUCUGUUGACUCAUCCAGCUGUAACAGACAUAUACCAGGAGCUGUCCCAGGCCCUCCACGUCUGUUGACUCAUCCAGCUGUAACAGACAUAUACCAGGAGCUGUGCAAGGCCUGCCACGUCUGUUGACUCAUCCAGCUGUAACAGACAUAUACCAGGAGCUGUCCCAGGCCCGCCACGUCUGUUGACUCAUCCAGCUGUAACACAUAGAAUUCACUGGCUUGUACGCAAAUCAGUAAUUGUUUCAAAACAUCUCCUGUCACUGAUGCUUUGUGUAACUGUGUUGUUUGAUGAAUUCAUUGUCUGUAUAGUUUUUUGGGCCUCUUUCCCCAGCAUUGUCCCAGCCGUAUCCGCGGCAGCAGGAAUAAUUAAGUCCUCCACAAUAGUAUGGGGCUUGCCUGUCAUAGCCACUCGGUAGCUCACCAUAUAAGACUCUUCAAGCCCCUUCUUAUUAAUGGUACCUGCUUUUAUAUAUGUCUUACUACUCAAAAGUUGUCUUAAUUCUCGCUCAAAAAACUCCCGUGGCUUAUUUUUCAAAUUGUGACUCUGACUACGUCAGAUUCACAGCCGUCAGUGUCAGUGCAGGUGUAGUACUGCUGGUAGUAGCAGUACUACCAGUAGAGUUGGUAUGUGUCUCUAUGGAUGCGGGCCGUAAAUCAUUUCUCAAUUUUCGAGCAAAAGAAAUGAGCAGCAGCUACGUUUGGCUGCAUAAGGACCGUUAGUGGAAUUUCUGCGUGAGACGAACGGUUAAUGUGAUUAGAUGUUCAUUAUUUGACUAGGAUACCUGUAUUUGACAUUGUGUUGUUAUUUCACUGAACACUAGAUGUUUUAAUAUUAUUUUUUGGCAGUGAAACGAGGCUACACAAGAAAGAAAAAAAACUCACCCAAGUGUAUAGCCCCAUUGGAAAAUAGAAAUGGACUGUUUAAAAAUGUGAAGAAGAAAAUAAAAACAUUUAAAAAACGAUAUAUAUUAUUAUAUUGUAUUUUUCUCCAUUAAACAGUCCACAAUCAUAUUACACAAUUAUACAAACAGUAUCAUACUCACUCAUUCAUCUUAUACAACAAUUAGAUGUAAACCCUUCGUCUUUCCGUCUCCCCUUCGUCGUUCCGUCUCCCCUUCAUCGUUCCGUCUCCCCUUCAUCGUUCCGUCUCCCCUUCAUCGUUCCGUCUCCCCUUCAUCGUUCCUUCUCCCCUUCAUCGUUCCUUCUCCCCUUCAUCGUUCCUUCUCCCCUUCGUCGUUCCGUCUCCCUUCUCCCCUUCGUCGUUCCGUCUCCCUUCUCCUCUUCUCUCCCUCAUCUUUCCAUCUCCCUUCUCCCAUUCUCUCCCUCAUCAAAUGUCUUACCAUUAUCGUGCCAUUAUCAUACCAUAGGCAUCAAUGAUCACGGAUUGCAUACAAUACAAGGAUGUGCAUAAAUGUUUGACAUAAAUACAUAACAUAUUGCAGAUAACAGGAGUGUUUCUGAUUACAUGAACAUGUUUUGUUUCUGUGUGUCAAGUGAGGCAUUUACAUUACAUUUAAGUCAUUUAGCAGACGCUCUUAUCCAGAGCGACUUACAAAUUGGUGCAUUCACCUUAUGACAUCCAGUGGAACAGCCACUUUACAAUAGGCAGCUGGAGACAGCGCUGGCCUGUAGAGAUGUAGGCCAAGGAUCAGUACCAGAGACAGCGCUGGCCUGUAGAGAUGGAGGCCAAGGAUCAGUACCAGAGACAGCGCUGGCCUGUAGAGAUGGAGGCCAAGGAUCAGUACCAGAGACAGCGCUGGCCUGUAGAGAUGGAGGCCAAGGAUCAGUACCAGAGACAGCGCUGGCCUGUAGAGAUGGAGGCCAAGGAUCAGUACCAGAGACAGCGCUGGCCUGUAGAGAUGGAGGCCAAGGAUCAGUACCAGAGACAGCGCUGGCCUGUAGAGAUGGAGGCCAAGGAUCAGUACCAGAGACAGCGCUGGCCUGUAGAGAUGGAGGCCAAGGAUCAGUACCAGAGACAGCGCUGGCCUGUAGAGAUGGAGGCCAAGGAUCAGUACCAGAGACAGCGCUGGCCUGUAGAGAUGGAGGCCAAGGAUCCAGGAGCCUCGAGGUGUGUGUGUUUUGCGGUGCUACAUGUAGGUACCUCCCUGUUACUUGUACAGCAUUGUAACUGUCUGACAGUCUCCACUACCAUGCUUGUGUGUGCUUUUGACUGUUUGUACAUGUGUGUUUGUAUCACUUUGUAUGUGUGACCACCUAUCCCUCUCCACUCCGUCGCCGGCUGUUGUCUCUGCAGGAGGAGUUGCGUAGCAGCACUCUGGUGUGUAGUCACUUCAGUGUCCAGCUCCAGUACCCCCUGCAGCAGAACAUGUUACAGGAGAGCAGCACCCGCUGGCCGAGCUGGAGGACAGCCAGCUACAGGGACAUGUAGAGAAACCUAUGGAAGAGACAAGGUACAUAGACAAAUACUCUACCAAGAUGAGAGACGAAGAUAAAUACUCUACCUAGAUGAGAGACGAAGACAAAUACUCUACCUAGAUGGGAGACUAAGACAAAUGCUCUACCUAGAUGAGAGACGAAGAUAAAUGCUCUACCUAGAUGAGAGACGAAGACAAAUACUCUACCUAGAUGAGAGACGAAGACAAAUACUCUACCUAGAUGAGAGACGAAGACAAAUACUCUACCUAGAUGAGAGACGAAGACAAAUACUCUACCUAGAUGGGAGACGAAGACAAAUACUCUACCUAGAUGGGAGACGAAGACAAAUACUCUACCUAGAUGAGAGACGUAGAUAAAUACUCUACAUAGAUGAGAGACGAAGAUAAGUACUCUACCUAGAUGAGAGACGAAAAUAAAUACUCUACCUAGAUGAGAGACGAAGAUAAAUACUCUACCUAGAUGGGAGACGAAGACAAAUACUCUACCUAGAUGGGAGACGAAGAUAAAUACUCUACCUAGAUGAGAGACGAAGAUAAAUACUCUACCUAGAUGGGUGUAAAUGUGUCCUAUAGAGGGACGUCACAAAUAACGAGGUGUCGUGCCAACUUGGUAAAACACGGGCCAUUGAGUCAGCUACAGGGUGGUAAAACCAACUAGAGAGACUCAGACAAAUGGUCUACCUAGACGCCAGGUAUGAAUAUGUGUCUUACAGACAGGGAGAACCCUAACAUUGCAUUGAGACCUAAGGUAAAACACACAUCUGUCAAGCAAAAGCUAUUGCAUAAUACUCCAUUUAUUUGAGUAUUUGACAUAGCAGGGUUCUUUCUGUAUGUGGUUCUAAUCGUCUUAGCUAGUCAUUUCAGAUGCUCUUGCCAUAUUGUUGUGUCACUGUUCUUUUUUUUCUUGUUUUUCACCAAGAACACAGUAUAAAGGACUCCAUUGACCAAAUCUAAAUAUCUACAGUUGCGGGAAUUAACAUUUCUGAAAGCGCGGCUUGACAGGAGACAUGAGAUCUGAACUUCCCAAAGGCAACACUCUUUCUGUGUAAAAUGUGAAAUCUUAGGCUAUCACCAAGUCUUCUGUUGUUUUAAGGUGAAUCAUGUUAACUGUUAUUUAGCGGUAGUGGAAAGGAGUCUUUCGAGCAGCGAGGACAUUCCCUAUCAUGGGGAAUUCCAAAGGGACAUAUCUAGCAGACAUCGUGAUCUUUGUGAGAUGCAGCGCUGUGGGUCAAUUCCAACACAAUUCAGGAAAUUAUCAAAGUUCCGUUCCUGACUUGACAAAUCAUUUUAAGACGUGCUAUUUCUUAUCCACAAUGGUCUGCAUUUGUUUCAACUUUAAUGUUACGCCCACAGAUUAUCACAAAUCAGGGUCGGUCCAUAGUGAGAAAUCUUAUGAGUUUUGAAUUUAGCUCUGGUGAUAUGGACUCUGAUCUAACUUGCUGAUGUGGCCUGGUUUGUGUCUGUCUAAUACUAGGAUACAGACAGUAAUAACACUGUUUUCCUACUGGAAGCAGCACUAGAAAAAGAGAUUUGAAUGCAAGUCUUGUGCUUCUUGAAAUCCCUCCCAUUGACGCACAUACUAUCGCCUACAGAAAUAAAUAUUUAUCGUUCAUUUAUCUGUGUACUGUACUUUGCUUAUCUGACAUUCAGUUCAAAAUGUACAACUGUAAAAAAACACACAAAAAAAACAUUAGUUUCCAUGACUACACAGGGAUGAAAGCAUCUUAAUGUGAAUUAAACUUUUUCAACAUUUUGUUAUGUUAGAGGCUUAUUAUAAAAUGUAUUUUUUCUUCUCAUCAAUCUACACACAAUACCUCAUAACAAAGCAAAAACUGUUUUUUGACAUUUUUGCAAAUAAAGAAAAUGAAAUAUCACAUUUACAUAAGUAUUCAGUACUUUAUUGAAGUACCUUUCGAGGCAGCGAUUACAGCCUUGAGUCUUCUUGGGUAUGACGCUACAAGCUGGGCACACCUGUAUUUGGGGAGUUUCUCCCAUUUCUUCUCUGCAGAUCCUCUGAAGCUCUGUCAGUUUGGAUGGGGAGCGUCGCUGCACAUCUAUUUUCAGGUUUCUCCAGAGAUGUUUGAUUGGGUUCAAGUCCAUGCUCUGGCUGGGCCACUCAAGGACAUUCAGAGACUUGUCCCGAAGCCACUCCUGCGUUGUCUUGGCUGUGUGCUUAGGGUCGUUGUCCUGUUGGAGCAGGUUUUCAACAAGGAUCUCUCUGUACUUUGCUCCGUUCAUCUUUCUCUCGAUCCUGACUAGUUUCCCAGUCCCUGCCACUGAAAAACAUCCCCACAGCAUGAUGCUGCCACCACCAUGCUUUGCCAUAGGGAGGUUGCCAGGUUUCCUCCAGAUGUGACACUUGUCAUUCAAGUUCAAGCUUGGUUUCAUCAGACCAGAGAAUCUUGUUUCUCAUUAUCUGAGAGUCUUUAGGGGCCUUUUGGGAAAACUUCAAGUGGGCUGUCAUGUACCUUUUACUGAGGAGUGGUUUCCGUCUGGCCACUCUACCAGGCCUGAUUGGUGGAGUGCUGCUGCUAGAAGGUUCUCCCAACUCCACAGAGGAAUUCUGGAGCUCUGUCAGAGUGUCCAUCAGGUUCUUGGUCACCUCCCUGACCAAGGCCCUUCUCCCCCGCUUGCUCCGUUUGGUUGAGCGGCCAGCCCUAAGAGAGCUUCUUGCAUUUAAGAAUGAUGGAGGCCAAUGUGUUCUUGGAGACCUUUAAUACUGCAGCCAUUUUUUUGUUGCCCUUCCCUAGAUCUGUGCCUCAACACAAAAAGUCUCGGGGCUCUACGGACAAUUCUUUCGACCGCAUGGCUUGGUUUUUGCUCUGACAUGCACUGUCAACUGUGGGACCUUUUUAUAUAGACAGGUGUGUGCCUUUCCACAUCAUGUCCAAUUAAUUGAAUUUACCACAGGUGGGCUCCAAUCAAUUUGAAACAUGAUGCACCUGAGCUCAAUUUCGAGUCUCAUCAUAGCAAAGGGUCUGAAUAAUUAUGUAAAUAAUUUAUAAUUUAAAAAAAAAUUAUACAUUUGGAAAAAUGUCUAAACCUGUUUUCACUUUGUCAUUAUGGAGUAUUGUGUGUAGAUUGAGGAUUUAUUUUUAUUAUGUCUGUAAUGUAACAAAAUGUGGAAAAAAGUAAAGGUGCCUGAAUACUUUCCCGAAUGCAGUGUAUGUUUAGGAUUGUGCUUAAACUCAUUAUUAGUAAUUUAAUAUGAAUAUGUGAUAUCCCCCGG